rnacentral:rRNA from 1 species
AAACGUCCCAGUUCGGAUUGCAGCCUGCAACUCGGCUGCAUGAAGCUGGAAUCGCUAGUAAUCGCGGAUCAGAAUGCCGCGGUGAAUACGUUCCCGGGUCUUGUACACACCGCCCGUCACACCAUGGGAGUCGGAAAUGCCCGAAGUCAGUGGCCCAACCGCAAGGAGGGAGCUGCCGAAGGCAGGUCCGGUGACUGGGGUGAAGUCGUAACAAGGUACC